UAAUACGGAGGGUGCGAGCGUUGUCCGGAAUCACUGGGCGUAAAGGGCGCGUAGGUGGCUUGGCAAGCGUGUGGUGAAAGCCCGGGGCUCAACCCCGGGUCUGCCGUGCGAACUGCUAUGGCUUGAGCACUGUAGAGGCAGGUAGAAUUCCGGGUGUAGCGGUGGAAUGCGUAGAGAUCCGGAAGAAUACCGGUGGCGAAGGCGGCCUGCUGGGCAGUGGCUGACACUGAGGCGCGACAGCGUGGGGAGCAAACAGGAUUAGAUACCCUGGUAGUCCACGCCGUAAACGAUGGGCACUAGGUGCUUGGGGGAGCGACCCUCUGAGUGCCGUCGCUAACGCAGUAAGUGCCCCGCCUGGGGAGUACGGCCGCAAGGCUG
rnacentral:rRNA from 1 species